rnacentral:rRNA from 1 species
AUGGAAGGAUAUGGGAGCGACAUGGUCAUCUCAAAGAAGCAGAUCUUGGACUGGUGCGACCGGUUCAUUCUCGUAGUGGAACCUGAGUCUCAGAGAAACUAUACUCUAUGGCCAACACAACCUCCUUUCAGCUACUCCAGAGAUAUUCUGAGCGAGUACACAGUCAGAUGCAGGGAGAUCACCAACCUUUUCCUCAAGAACCUGGCCAAGCUGCUCAGUUUAGACAAGGACUACUUCAUCAACAUGCUCGAUGAGAAUGCCAUUACACAUGCCAGGUUUAACUACUGCCCUCACUGUCCCAAGCCGGACCAAGUCUUUGGCCUGAAGCCCCACUCGGAUGCCACAGCGAUCACAAUUGUCUUCAUCGAUGAUAGCGUGAGUGGGCUCCAACUGCAGAAAAAUAGUGUCUGGUAUGAUGUGCCAAUCAUUCUGAACGCAUUACUUGUGAACAUGGGAGAUGUAAUGGAGAUAAUGAGCAAUGGGUUCUUCAAGAGUCCGGUUCACAGGGUUGUGACCAAUGCUGAGAAAGAGCGGCUGUCAUUGGUGAUGUUCUAUGCGAUGGACCCAGAGAGGGAGAUUGAGCCAGUGCAAGAGCUGGUGGACGAGAAGAAUCCGAGGCGGUACAGGAAGAUCAAAACCAAAGACUACAUAGCAGAGAUAUUCAAAACAUUUGCAAGAGGGACACUAGCCAUUGACACAGUGAAGAUCUGA